rnacentral:sRNA from 1 species
UAUCGACAUAGCUCGUCAGGUGUCGCU